CAACCUGCCCCUGACUCUGGGAUAAGCGCUGGAAACGGCGUCUAAUACUGGAUAUGUGACGUGACCGCAUGGUCUGCGUUUGGAAAGAUUUUUCGGUUGGGGAUGGGCUCGCGGCCUAUCAGCUUGUUGGUGAGGUAAUGGCUCACCAAGGCGUCGACGGGUAGCCGGCCUGAGAGGGUGACCGGCCACACUGGGACUGAGACACGGCCCAGACUCCUACGGGAGGCAGCAGUGGGGAAUAUUGCACAAUGGGCGCAAGCCUGAUGCAGCAACGCCGCGUGAGGGAUGACGGCCUUCGGGUUGUAAACCUCUUUUAGCAGGGAAGAAGCGAAAGUGACGGUACCUGCAGAAAAAGCGCCGGCUAACUACGUGCCAGCAGCCGCGGUAAUACGUAGGGCGCAAGCGUUAUCCGGAAUUAUUGGGCGUAAAGAGCUCGUAGGCGGUUUGUCGCGUCUGCUGUGAAAUCCCGAGGCUCAACCUCGGGCCUGCAGUGGGUACGGGCAGACUAGAGUGCGGUAGGGGAGAUUGGAAUUCCUGGUGUAGCGGUGGAAUGCGCAGAUAUCAGGAGGAACACCGAUGGCGAAGGCAGAUCUCUGGGCCGUAACUGACGCUGAGGAGCGAAAGGGUGGGGAGCAAACAGGCUUAGAUACCCUGGUAGUCCACCCCGUAAACGUUGGGAACUAGUNUGUGGGGUCCAUUCCACGGAUUCCGUGACGCAGCUAAACGCAUUAAGUUCCCCGCCUGGGGAGUACGGCCGCAAGGCUAAAACUCAAAGGAAUUGACGGGGACCCCGCACAAGCGGCGGGAGCAUGCGGGAUUAAUUUCGAUGCAACCGCGAAAGAACCCUUUACCAAAGGCUUUGACAUAAUAC
rnacentral:rRNA from 1 species